CCGGGCAUAGCGCAGUCUGGUAGCGCACCACAAUGGGGUUGUGGGGGUCGCAGGUUCAAAUCCUGCUGCCCGGACCA
rnacentral:tRNA from 1 species